UUUCAUCUAUGGUUGUGCUGAACUGUUGGACUUGCCAUUUGGUUUUUUUUUAAUCAGAUCCAGGGAUCUAGAUGACAAUGCUUAAAAAAAAAGGGGACAAUGUGUUACUUGGAAUCCACACCAAACUCCUCAAAACAGAUGAGUGGGCUAAUUUGACUGUCCAUUACAGAGUGAACAUCAGCAUGAGAAACAUCCAGUGUGACCCAUGGGCUUCAGGAUACUGGUACAUCUACAAGCACCUGUAAGCAAAAGCAGCAUGAGCAUCUUACCGAGCUAUUCAGGCACCUUUCCAACUUCAUGCAUACUCUUAGGAACCUAAAAUUAAUUUCCAGGUUGAACUCAAGCAAGGAGCAGCCUUGGCUGCUGGAUCAAUUGUCUUGCCACAGACAGUGGUUCGUUCCUGGUCAUUGUUCUUCUUAGAGGAUUUCAGCAUUUUCCACUCAUGCGACUAAUGUCAUAUUAGGGACUUUUGGAGCUUCUAAGACAAGGUUUGGUUUGGAUACACAUCUAUGGCAGGUUGUAUACAAUCAGAAAGGCAACACAGAAGUGGAAAACUCCUGUUCUGGCCAAAACUAAGAGAAAUUCACAAUAAAAAUACUUUUCCAUCUGAAAAUUCAGAAUUAUCUAAUUAA